GAUGAACGCUGGCGGCGUGCCUAAUACAUGCAAGUCGAGCGAACAGACGAGGAGCUUGCUCCUCUGACGUUAGCGGCGGACGGGUGAGUAACACGUGGAUAACCUACCUAUAAGACUGGGAUAACUUCGGGAAACCGGUGCUAAUACCGGAUAAUAUAUUGAACCGCAUGGUUCAAUAGUGAAAGACGGUUUUGCUGUCACUUAUAGAUGGAUCCGCGCCGCAUUAGCUAGUUGGUAAGGUAACGGCUUACCAAGGCAACGAUGCGUAGCCGACCUGAGAGGGUGAUCGGCCACACUGGAACUGAGACACGGUCCAGACUCCUACGGGAGGCAGCAGUAGGGAAUCUUCCGCAAUGGGCGAAAGCCUGACGGAGCAACGCCGCGUGAGAGAUGAAGGUCUUCGGAUCGUAAAACUCUGUUAUUAGGGAAGAACAAAUGUGUAAGUAACUAUGCACGUCUUGACGGUACCUAAUCAGAAAGCCACGGCUAACUACGUG
rnacentral:rRNA from 1 species